rnacentral:rRNA from 1 species
UACGUAGGGUGCGAGCGUUGUCCGGAAUUACUGGGCGUAAAGAGCUCGUAGGUGGUUUGUCGCGUUGUUCGUGAAAACUCACGGCUUAACUGUGAGCGUGCGGUCGAUACGGGCAUCACUGGAGUUCGGCAGGGGAGACUGGAAUUCCUGGUGUAGCGGUGAAAUGCGCAGAUAUCAGGAGGAACACCGGUGGCGAAGGCGGGUCUCUGGGCCGAUACUGACGCUGAGGAGCGAAAGCGUGGGGAGCGAACAGG